rnacentral:rRNA from 1 species
GGCCCUCCGCCUUUAACUCACGGGAGGUCACACCUGCACAAUGGCCUACGGGUUCAAUUGCCGCGGUAACCUGACCGUGCAAAGGUAGCGUAAUCAAUAGCCUAUUAAUUGUUGGCCUGUAUGAAUGGUUUUACGCUGGUGGUGCUGUCUCUACAGUGUUAAUUCGAACUUAACUUCUGGGUGAAAAGGCCCAGAUACACCUGAAAGACGAUUAGACCCUAUCGAACUUUAGGUAGCCUGGAGACAGAUUACUACCCAUAAGUCCUGCUCUUCAGUAAACCUUUGGUUGGGGAAACCGGGGACUAAAAAAACCGCCCCCCCCUCCUUGAAAGUAGACACCCUCUUCAGUAGAGGUAUAACAGAACUUACCUCUAGGGCAAUCAGCCUCAGGAAAGGAACUUCAAUAGGACUAACAAGAGUCUGACAAGACAUAGCUCACUUGUAGAAUGAACCUAAAGACCUGUGUCACUUCACAGGAACCUGUUAAUUGGGAAGAGUUACCGUAGGGAUAACAGCGUAAUCCUCCCGGCGAGACCACAUUAAGGGGAGGGUUUGCGACCUCGAUGUUGGCUUAGGGCUUCCUAGAAGUGCAGGGGCUUCUAAGGGUUGGUCUGUUCGACCAUUAAAGCCUUACG